rnacentral:lncRNA from 1 species
GGGUGGGGCCGAGGCAUUUCCCAGCACAGCUCAAUCACAUCUCCUGCGCCUGCCCUUGUGACCUGCUCACUGGAAAGGAAGAAAUGACCGAGGGAGAAGGGAGGGCAUUUGAGGUAUUUUUCCCUCUCCACCCUGGUCUUCUCCUGUAACGUGUGGCCGCCUUUUCCAGCACGGCCUCCUGCCUUCCUGGUGCACUUUUUGGAGAACGUGGUGGAAUCAGAGGUUUCUGGCUGACUCGGUGGGUGCUUUGAACCAGGAAAGGACAAGAAAGAGGUGCCACCUCCUGAGUCCUGGUUCCUGCGGCUCCGUCGAAUCUGCAGUGAAGGCCUUUGGGAAGCGUGGGUUAUGUGGGUCCAGGGGUCCCAUCCUCCCGUGGAGGCCCUUGACCUGAGGAUCACUAACUCACACCCCACCGACUUCCGGCCCCCAACAAGGGCAGUGUUCCUCUUGCUCCAUUCUGCUCUGAAGUCCCCCAAACCGCUUCCUGGGGCUGCUUAGUGAAAUACAAGGCUCAUCUCUGAGGACCUCUACAGGGCUGGAUGGGAAGGACUGAUCCACAUUCCCACCAGGAAGUUUAGCAGAACCCCCGCGUGCCACCUGGACCCCUUGGAAGGACCUGGCUCAGGCUGGACCACCUCUUGAGAGGCAGGAGCUCUGGAUUUGAUCAAGAAUUCUUUGCUGAGCAUGGUGCCUCAUGCCUAUAAUCCCAACACUUUGGGAGGCCAGUGUGGGAGGAUCUCUUGAGCCCAGGAGUUCAAGACUAGCCUGGGCAACACAGAGAGACCCCAUCUCUAAAAUAAUAAUAAUAAUAAAAUAAAAAAUUAGCAGGGCAUGGUGGCAUGUGCCUGUAGUCCCAGCUACCCAGGAGGCUGAGGCAAGAGGAUGGCUGGAGCCUGGGAUGUUGAGGCUGCAAUGAACUGUGAUUACCCCACUGCACUCCAGCCUGGGCAAAAGAGCGAGAGACCCUGUCUCAAAUAAUAAUAAUAAUAAUAAUCUUAUUUUGGAGAAUAAAGAGACCUCUGGAUUUGAGGUGCCAUUUGGGUAGAAAGAAAAGACGUUUACACCGAGAAAUAGUCUGUGUUGCCCUGAAGGAGCAGAGGGAUGCAUCGCUGGAGGUGACCUACAGUUGAAGAAGACUCAUUAUGACAGACCUUGUCCUUCUUCCUUGUGGAAAGUGUUUCCUCUGCUGCUACUGCUCAUGAGACUCUUCCCCCUCCCUGUCCCAGGGAACCAAAGGGCUUUCUACCACACCCUUUCUUGCCCCCCGCCUCCCAUGUCUGCUGUGCCUUUGUACUCAGCAAUUCUUGUUUGCUCCAUUAUCUUCCAGCCGGAUACAGAGUGAAUAGUUAACCACACUUAGGUCAAAUAGGAUCUAAAUUUUUGUUCCUGCUCCGUGUAAAGAGGCCAGUGUUUGUGUGUUGCAAGCAGCCUUGGAAUAGUAACUCUUCUCAUUUGUUUGGGAUCUGGCCACCAAGUUCCAGAAUGAUACACGGAUCAGUGCAGAAGUUCAUCAGGCUCUCGGACCUUAGGGCUGUUGGAGAAGGCUUCAGCAGCAGAACUGAUGGUGAAGGCUCGUGUUCUCCAUCCUCAACUUUCUUUGCUUCGAUCAUACACAAGAAUACAUUUGGAAGGGCAAAAAAUGAACACUGUCGUUCAUUGCAGCCGUGUUUUGUGACACAGAUGCACAGUCUGCUGUGAAGACCUUCUCUCAAGUGGCAUUUGGGAGUCCAUGCCAGAUCAUGGUGCUUCAUGAGAGACUGACAGCUAUCAGGGGUUGUGGCACUUAGUGAGGACUCUCCUCCCCCAGUGUGUGCUGAUGACACAUACACACCUGACAAUAGCUUGAGUCUUCUCUGUUCCUUUUACUCUGUAGCCAACAUACACAUGAUUUAAAACCCUUUCUAAAUAUCUAUCAUGGUUCAUCCUUGUCCAAAUGCAGAGUCAGAGCUAUUUGUACUUCAUUAUUAUUUCCAAGGCGAAUAGUUGGCUUUCUUUUUGCAAAAAUAAUUAAAGUUUUUGUAUGUUGCA